rnacentral:pre_miRNA from 1 species
CUUGUACUCCCUCCGUCCGGAAAUACUUGUCGGAGAAAUGGAUGUAUCUAGACGUAUUUUAGUUUUAGAUACAUCCAUUUUUAUGCAUUUCUCCGACAAGUAUUUUCGGAUGGAGGGAGUAUAAG